rnacentral:lncRNA from 1 species
GUCUCCGUCGAGUUCGGGCUAGAGUAAGGAUCCCCCAUCAUGAUUUUCUUCCUACUCUCUUCUUGACGGAUUUCAGAGAAAACUUAUCUGAGACUUGGUAGCGGUUUGGUACCCAAAACGCGACCACGAACUUCAUCUAAAUUUUUGUUGAGACCCAUCAAGAAUUUGAAGACUCUUUUUCGUUCGGUGAGAGUUUUGAAGAGUUUGGAGUCUUUGGGACAACUCCACUAAUGUUCUUUGAAGACGUCGGGCUGCUGCCAAUUCCGAGUGAGUGCAUUGUAGUAUUGAGUCACGGUGAGCUCCCCAUGUCGCAGGUCGUGCAGGUGAGUCUCGAUUUCGAAGAUGACUGAGGUAUUAUCUCGGCUGGAGUAGAACUUGCGUGCGGCCACCCAGAUGUCAUGCGCAGUUUCAUACAGCAAGAAGUUCUCUCCAUUCUCUGUUGUUAUUGAGUUGACUAACUAAGACAUUACAAGGUUGUUUUCGACCUUCCACGAACGGGCUCCUGGAUCAUUUGCUGAUGGUUGAGUGACUUCUCCUGUAAGAUAUUCAUCUCCUACCCUUUCCUCGGCUGAACAUGAGUAUGGAUGAUGACCAUUAGAGAUAAUUACUCCUAUUCAGUCUGUGUCCAGUGACAAAUGAAGGUGUUUGGUCGACGUGAGAUUGGGUGAUGGACAUUGAAUUAUAAGAACCUGAGAUAACGUUAGGGAGAGAGGAGUUUUGCUCGUCCAUUGUCAUUUUGUCUUUGGCUGGUAUCGCGUCGCCUAUCCCCUUCCCUUAACUGCCCCUCCAUCUCCCUGCUGUCUAGCUCUUCCAACUCCCUAAGACUUUCAUAAAUCAUCCUCUCAGCCUUGCCCUCCUCCUUCCUAGCCCAUGUUUUAAUUUUUGUCUUCAAAGCCUUUAAUUUUGUAGCAAACACAAAGCUACCCGUACCACUAACAGAAGCCAUCUGCCACUCCUUUUCAACCAACUAUUUGAACCCAUCCACCUUUACCCACUUAUGAUCCAAGUGGACAGGGAGGCUCACGCGCGAACAAGGCUGCUUGCACGCGUGCCGAGCAUCCGCCCAGUAGGCCUAGCGUGCAGCUUGUGGCCCAACCAGCGGGCCUGUUUCGCACGACCCGCAUUGAUUAGCUGACCCAGCCCCUGACCCGGCUGGCCCUUCCCCACCUUUUUAAUCAUUUUUUUAAUUUUUAUUUUAAUUAGACCCCACUUUUUAAUUCUCCAUGUUUUUAAAUUAAUUACCACAUGUUUUAAUUUAAAUUCUCCAUGUGUUUUACGUGAAAAUCACAUGAGAUAAAGUCUAUCUUAUUUUAAUUAUUAUUUUAAUAUAAAUUUUAUUUAUAAGAUUAUUUAAUUAAUUAUUUUGUAAGUAGAUAUGAUAGAAUUAAUAUUUUAUUAUAUAAUUAUCCUAAAAUUAGAUAUAAUUUUAUGUAAAAUAUUAUUUUAUUAAUUUUUUCAAGUAAUUAUGAUCAUUUAGAACUAUUACGGGAAAGUUCAUAAAUAGGUUUUUACUCCUAGGUUGUAAACACACAAUUACAAUCAAUUGAAAGAAAUAUUAUUGAAACUUACUUUUCUUUAAUUAGCAUUUUUGCUAAUUUUUAUCUUCUUCAAGUUCUUCAAAAAGCAGAAGUCU